CAGCUUACCACGUAUUGGUCAUUCUCUUUGAGGAGCAGGGCCAUACUGACGGCUUACAUGUGCGCUCUGGUGGAAGUAGGAUGUUUGGUGGCAGCAGGAGCAAAAUCAACUCUGCAGUGACAGCAAAGCUGGAGAGAGAGAGGAGCAUUGAGGUUUUGAGACAUGUAUAACCAGUGAAACCAUCAUUACAAUCCAGAUUGAGAAAUUUGCCAUGCCAGCCAGGCCUUGAACUCUCCACCGGUCGGUAACUUUGUUUCCUUAAUCUUUGGGUCCUCCUAGCUGAUUGAAGGGCCUCAAAUCACAAAGUAAAGGGAUAAAACAAUUAUGGUGUAGCCAUACAAUGGAACACUGCUUAGUAAUACAAAGACACAAGCCAUUGACACACAAGCAGAUGAACCCAAGAUAAUUAUGAUGAAGGAAAGAAGCUGGACAAAAAACAGUACAUACUGUGUGAUUCCACUGAUACAAAACUCUGGAAAAUGCAGACUAAUCUGUGUGGCAGGAAGCAGAUCAGUGGUUGGGGGCAGGAGUCAUUACUGAGGGCAGGAGGGAGUACUGGACGCGUUCACUUUGUGGAUUGUGAUGAUGAUUUCACUGGCUAUAACGUGUCAAGACUUCAAUUUGUACACUAUAUAUGUGCAGUUAUUGUAUGUUAAUCACAUUUUAAUAAAGCUGUUAAAAUAUUGACCUGAAAAUUAACUGUAUUAUUGAAUCAUCGAUAAUUAGCAAAUAGAACUAUGGAAAAUGCCCUCUUAAAUUUCAAUUUAGUCAACUUAGAUCUAUUAGAGAUUUUUAAAGCAGACCUUUUAUAGUUCCAAGUUAAAUCUCUAAAGUCAGUUGUAACAGAAUCUGACAAAAUGGGCUGUUUUCUUUUACCACCUUCUCUCUUAACCCAUCAAGGCUUCCUUUUCUCAACUCUGUAAUGUCCUGAAGUGUUCAAGGGGUCUCCCCAUAGGUAUGACAAU
rnacentral:lncRNA from 1 species